rnacentral:rRNA from 1 species
GAUGAACGCUAGCGGGAGGCUUAAUACAUGCAAGUCGAGGGGUAACAGGGGCUUCGGCCCGCUGACGACCGGUGCACGGGUGAGUAACGCGUACGCAACUUACCUCCAAGCGAGGGAUAGCCCUGGGAAACUGGGAUUAAUACCUCAUGUGAUUAUGAUGCCGCAUGGUGUUAUAAUUAAAGUUCAGGCGCUUGGAGAUGGGCGUGCGUCCUAUUAGCUAGUUGGUGAGGUAACGGCUCACCAAGGCGACGAUAGGUAGGGGGCGUGAGAGCGUGGCCCCCCACACGGGUACUGAGACACGGACCCGACUCCUACGGGAGGCAGCAGUAAGGAAUAUUGGACAAUGGGCGCAAGCCUGAUCCAGCCAUCCCGCGUGCAGGAUGACAGCCCUACGGGUUGUAAACUGCUUUUGUUAGGGAAGAAACCCCUCGAUUUAUCGGGGGCUGACGGUACCUUUCGAAUAAGCACCGGCUAACUCCGUGCCAGCAGCCGCGGUAAAGUCAC